GGGCAGGAGGAGGAAUUGCUGCAUCGAAUUACAGCAAAACCAAAUGAUGGACUGAACAUAAAAGCACAAACAGCAAAAAACCAGAAUUGCUAGACCACAGCAGAACCAAAAGACUGAACAACAAAGCACAAACAACAGAGACUAAGAAAAGCAUCAGCAACCCAUCCGAGAGUCAACAGUAAGCAGAGACAAAAAGCAAUUGCAGUACAGCAAUGGAAACCCGAAAUAAGCUGAAUGCAGAGAUCAAAUUAGCAAAACCGGAUCCACCAAAGAGGAGCUGAAACCAGUAAAAAAUAAAGAGCUGCCGCUGACCAAAUAGCAAACAACUAGGACGCAGAACAAAAACUCUUCAGCACCCAAAAGGACAGUAACCAAAAACUGCACGAAAGAAUAAACCAAAAGCCAUACAAAAACCAAGUGGCUCCUCUCACUUGUUGCAUAAAAUUAGAAACGGUUGAUGCAUAUUGCAAAGAGAGCUUGGUUUGGAUUGUGCUGGGGCUGCAUUGGUACUCCUCAUCUUUGGAAGCAUACAACAAGUGGAUUCCACAUCUUUUCACCUUUAAUUCUACUAAAUCAAUAUGCCUUGCAUCACCUUUAUGCAAAUUGUCUACUUUGAACUCAGACUCAAUCGAAAGCUUGUUGACAUCUGAACAAUUGUGUUUGAGCCAUGGUUGAAUACAGUAACGAUUGUGCCAAAGGAACACAUGAUCUGAUUCAAUGGUGGCCCCGAAAUGCACAUUAUCAGGAUAAAUCUUAGGAGCAACCAUUAGUAAGGGCACUUCAAUACCAUCAGCAUUUUUCAGACGCAAUUCACAUGUAAGCACGAAAUUAUUGUACUUUUCCAUGGCAAGAGGAACCUUGAAUUCUAGAACAACACAAAAAGCCAAAUGUAGGUACUUAGCAUUAAUGCAUUUGGGAGGGAGCACAAAAGCUAUUGAAGAUCCUAGGUUCUCAUAGCUGAACCAUUCUGGAAUUUCAGUUCGAGGUAAACCAACAAGAAAACUAUCACUAAAUUCUGAAACACCAAACUUUUCUUCAAUUCUCAGUCGUGCAUUUGCCAUAAUGUUGCCAAGUGUAUUAUGCUCCAAAUUGAAGCAAUUGCAAUAAUUGAAUAUUCCUCUUUGCCACCUGCAACCAUUGCAAUUUUGUACGAGUGCGAAGGGCAAAGGUGAUUUCGCAGUUUCUAGUGAUGUACAAUUAAACGCUUGGAGCACCGUUGUUCGCUCUGGAAGCUCUGGUAAAUGUUGGAGUCUUUUGCAGUUAUUUAAACUCAAUAAUCUUAGUGAUGAUAAAGAGAAAAUGUCGCUGGGGAUUUCUGAAACUGCAGUGUCAUCUAGAUAUAAAUGUGUUAAAGAGCACAAACCAUAUAACGAAGGCAAUCUACCAAGUUUUGAGCAGCCCCAAAGAAAAAGCCUUUCAAGGCAUUUCAACUCACAAAUGCUGCCUGGGAGACUCUCUAGCUUAUUGCACUUCUCCAGUUUCAACUCAACAAGUGAAGAGAGACAUCCGAUGGUUGAGGGUAAUUCUUCUAUUGCGACCUCUUCUAACAGUAUUCUUUUUAGAUAUCCAGUAACAUUAGGGAACUUGGUUAAAUUUGAACAUCUGAAGAGUUUAAGUGUCUCAACAGAAGUCAAAUGCAAACAGCUUGGAAGGCUUCUAAGGUUGUUGCACAUCGAGAUACGCAUGCAUUUAAGAGUGUCGAAAGAUUGAACAGAUGCGGACCAUUCUUCCAGUCCACGACACAUUAGAUAUAACCGUUUAAUACCACUCGGAAUUUCUGACAUUUUCUUCAAAUUUAUGCAGAAAGACAGAGAAAGUUCCUUCAGAUUUUUCAAAUGAAGGAGACUGGGAAGACUCCUUAGAUUUAUGCAGUCAUCAAGAUUAAGAUAAGUAAGUUUGUGGAGAAACUGAAUUGGAGAGGGAAUCUCAAGCAAACUCUCACACCCCUUAAGAUCUACUCGCUCUAAGUUUGCAGCCGAGGAGAGAUUUGGGAGUGUGGCUAGUUUCUUCGAUCCAGAAAGAUAGAGAUACUUCAACUUUUGAGGACACUUAUCUCCAUGCCAAAGCCGUUUAACAUUGCUAUCCUCCAAAUUGAGUAAAACAAGGUUCUCCAUGGAAAAACAUAAAGGCAGAGAACUGUAAGGAUAUUCCUCCCAAUGUAGUAAACUCAACUUGUUAGGAAGAUGCUGCAGAUGAUUCUUUUUAGCAGAUUCAAGUAUGAAGGUUUCAGGAGUCGAGUCCUUUUUAUUUGAAUGCCUAAAAAAUUUGAGUAAUCUUAAGUUAGGCAUUUGUGAGAAGGUUGCAGAAUUCAAGCGUAUCAUUCCCAUUUUAGAAGUAUCCAAGCAUAUCCCUUCCACUGCUUUGUUCACCUAAUACAAAGAAUAAAAAGCUAUGAGUAGACAGGACAAAUGAAUAAAAAAAGAUUUUUCUUGUCUUACCUUCUUAGCUGCCAAGAUAUCACAAAUUUUUGUGAAUUCCCAUAAUCUACUAUGUUCAUGCCGAGCAAUAUGUUGACCCAUUUCUUGUAUCAAAUCAUGCAUCUCUAACUUCUUAUUAACAACAAUUACAAGGCACUUUUCCACUAAACGAAUUAUUCCCAAACUUGGAGUAAGAUCACAUCCGUCUAGUAUAUCUUCUACACGGUCUUUAUCUUGGCCCUUGAAAAAGCAUGCUAUAUCAAGAAAUACAGCCUUUUCUGUUUGCUCUAGCGAAUCAUAACUUAUUUUUAAUAUUUUAUGAAUUUUGGAUAUCGGAAUUUUUUUUAGUUCUUUCAAUACAAUUUCCCAUUCCUUUGGAGAUCUUUUGCAUAGAUGUGAACCCAAAACUUUUAGGGCUAAAGGAACACCUUUAGCAUAGUUUACCACCCUUUCUGCUAACUUCAUAAACUCCUCUGGAGGAUGCUCUUGUUUAAAGGCUUUCACACUCAAUAAUUGAAGAGCAUCACAAUAAUUUAAUCCCUCAACCUUAUAUAUUUGAUCAACUCCACCAACAAGUACUUCUUUGUCUCUGCUUGUUACUAUGACUCUGCUUCCUGAACCAUACCAACCAUGAUAUCCAGCUAAAGCUUCUAACUGCUCUGAAUCAUUGACAUCAUCAAGA
rnacentral:misc_RNA from 1 species